GGUAGAGUAACGCGUGAGUAACCUGCCUUACACAAGGGGAUAGCCUUUGGAAACGAAGAAUAAUACCCUAUAAAACCAUAAAAGCACAUGCUAGAAUGGUCAAAGUAAUAGCGGUGUAAGAUGGACUUGCGUCUGAUUAGCUAGUUGGUGAGAUAAAAGCUCACCAAGGCAACGAUCAGUAGCCGGCUUGAGAGAGUGUACGGCCACAUUGGGACUGAGACACGGCCCAG
rnacentral:rRNA from 1 species